AGGGUAUUCGGGGAGGACAGGUGGUGCAUGGUUGUCGUCAGCUCGUGUCGUGAGAUGUGGGUUAAGUCCCGCAACGAGCGCAACCCUACUUGCUAGUUACCAUCAUUAAGUUGGGGACUCUAGCGAGACUGCCAGUGAUAAACUGGAGGAAGGUGGGGAUGACGUCAAAUCAUCAUGCCCCUUAUGACCUGGGCUACAAACGUGAUACAAUGGCUGGAACAAAGGGAUGCGAAGCAGUGAUGUGGAGCGAAACCCAUAAAAACAGUCUCAGUUCGGAUUGAAGUCUGCAACUCGACUUCAUGAAGUCGGAAUCGCUAGUAAUCGCGGAUCAGAACGCCGCGGUGAAUACGUUCUCGGGGUUU
rnacentral:rRNA from 1 species